GAUGAACGCUGGCGGCGUGCCUAAUACAUGCAAGUCGAGCGAACAGGCGAGGAGCUUGCUCCUCUGCCGUUAGCGGCGGACGGGUGAGUAACACGUGGAUAACCUACCUAUAAGACUGGGAUAACUUCGGGAAACCGGAGCUAAUACCGGAUAAUAUAUUGAACCGCAUGGUUCAAUAGUGAAAGACGGUUUUGCUGUCACUUAUAGAUGUAUCCGCGCCGCAUUAGCUAGUUGGUAAGGUAACGGCUUACCAAGGCGACGAUGCGUAGCCGACCUGAGAGGGUGAUCGGCCACACUGGAACUGAGACACGGUCCAGACUCCUACGGGAGGCAGCAGUAGGGAAUCUUCCGCAAUGGGCGAAAGCCUGACGGAGCAACGCCGCGUGAGUGAUGAAGGUCUUCGGAUCGUAAAACUCUGUUAUUAGGGAAGAACAAAUGUGUAAGUAACUAUGCACGUCUUGACGGUACCUAAUCAGAAAGCCACGGCUAACUACGUG
rnacentral:rRNA from 1 species